UACAGAGGGUGCAAGCGUUAAUCGGAAUUACUGGGCGUAAAGCGUGCGUAGGUGGAUAUUUAAGUCGAAUGUGAAAUCCCCGGGCUUAACCUGGGAACUGCAUCCGAUACUGGAUAUCUUGAGUAUGGUAGAGGAAAGUGGAAUUCCCGGUGUAGCGGUGAAAUGCGUAGAUAUCGGGAAGAACAUCAGUGGCGAAGGCGACUUUCUGGACCAAUACUGACACUGAGGCACGAAAGCGUGGGGAGCAAACAGG
rnacentral:rRNA from 1 species